GAACACGUUCCUCUACAAAAUAACCGACCUGUAUUUAGUGUUAUUGCUUUAACAUCAAUCAAAAAAAAAUGGCAUCAAUGUAUGCGUCUAAAAAUGUUAAAUUUAGAUGGAGACAAUCCAGAAAUGAGCUGCCAGGAAGUGAUCGAUUUCGGACACGAAGAUUGGAGGAUUCAUUCUCUGGAAAAUAGAAAAGGGCAUGUUACAUACUGUUAUCAUUGCCACGACAGAAACCAUAUUGAGGAGCUUGUCCACCUGUAGGAAGAAUUGCGCUAUUGGUUGGAGCAGCACUAUUCCCCAGCCAUACACCAGCACUUAGUUUGUCAUAGGGAGCAUUUCUGAGCAGUUAUGGAGACCACUAACUAUGCAGUUGUUGCAGUGAAACUUGCACCAGUGUGUUUUCUGUGGAAAUAAAGAGAUAGUGUCCAGCAAUGAAGACCCAACUCAAGAUCUGACCUUGUAAGGCCAAUAUGAAAUAACUGUGUGGAAAAAUGGGAAAAACCUGCAGUCAGGAAUGCACGGAAAUCAUCAA